CUACGUGCCAGCAGCCGCGGUAAUACGGAGGGUGCGAGCGUUAAUCGGAAUAACUGGGCGUAAAGGGCACGCAGGCGGUGACUUAAGUGAGGUGUGAAAGCCCCGGGCUUAACCUGGGAAUUGCAUUUCAUACUGGGUCGCUAGAGUACUUUAGGGAGGGGUAGAAUUCCACGUGUAGCGGUGAAAUGCGUAGAGAUGUGGAGGAAUACCGAAGGCGAAGGCAGCCCCUUGGGAAUGUACUGACGCUCAUGUGCGAAAGCGUGGGGAGCAAACAGGAUUAGAUACCCUGGUAGUCCACACCGUAAACGAUGUACACUAGGUGUUGGGGCAAGAGCUUCAGUGCCAAAGCAAACGCGAUAAGUGUACCGCCUGGGGAGUAUGCCCGCAAGGGUGAAACUCAAAGGAAUUGACGGGGGCCCGCACAAGCGGUGGAGCAUGUGGUUUAAUUCGAUGGUACGCGAGGAACCUUACCUGGGUUUGACAUCUAGUAGAAGGUCUUAGAGAUAAG
rnacentral:rRNA from 1 species